UAUCACUUAAAGCGAUUCAGCGGGUUACGAUUGACGGAGCGAAGCGACGUCAAAGCGUAUACAAAGUCGAGUCGGUUUAAGGAUACGUUCGUUGGGUAGGGGAGCGUUCUGUAAGCCUGUGAAGGUGUGUCGUGAGGCAUGCUGGAGGUAUCAGAAGUGCGAAUGCUGACAUAAGUAACGAUAAAGCGGGUGAAAAGCCCGCUCGCCGGAAGACCAA
rnacentral:rRNA from 1 species